rnacentral:rRNA from 1 species
CUGGAAAGUUUGAUGGAGGUAUCAGAAGUGAGAAUGCAGGUAUGAGUAACGAAAAAAUGGGUGAGAUUCCCAUUCGCCGAAAACCUAAGGUUUCCUGGGUAAAGGUCGUCUUCCCAGGGUUAGUCGGCCCCUAAGGCAAAGCUGAAAAGUGUAGUCGAUGGGAAACGGGUUAAUAUUCCCGUGCCUCUUAUAGUUUCGAUGGAGUGACGCAUGAGGUUAACUACUGCUAGGCGAUGGUUGUCCUAGUUUAAGCAUUAAGGCGAUGAUCUUAAUAGGAAAAUCCGUUAAGAGAGCUAAGAUGUGAUGAUGAGUGCUAUUUAGGUAGCAUGAAAUGUAGGUAGUCAAGGUGCCAAGAAAUAGCUUCUAAGGUUAGGCUAUAAGGGACCGUACCGCAAACC